rnacentral:lncRNA from 1 species
AAUAUUCACAGCAAGAAUCAAAACAGUCAUUGGUGGUUUGGUUAGCAAUUCCCAAUCAGCUUUUAGUGAGGACAGGAGCAUAACGUACAACAUUCUCUUUACACAAGAAUUAUUUAAAGGUUACAACAGGAAAGGUGUCUCCCCUCACUGUGUAUUAAAAGUUGACCUGCGGAAGGCUUAUGAUACAGUCGAAUGGUGUUUCAUUGAGAGACUGAUGCUGGAUAUGGGUUUCCCUUUCAAAUUUACAAAUUGGAUAAUGGAAUGCAUCUCUUCUGUCACAUUUCACUAAGUCUCAAUGGAGGAUUGACAACACCGUUUAAAGGAAAAAGAGGUAUAUGGCAAGGCGACCUAAUGUCCCCAUACCUAUUUGUACUUGUCAUGGAAUAUUUGAACAGGGAACUCAAGAAUAUGACGGCAAGCCCAUACCUCUUUUUAAUUGUCAUGGAAUAUUUGAACAGGGAACUAAAGAAUAUGACGGCACGGAAGGAUUUCAAAUUUCAUCCUAGAUGUAAGAAGCUAGGAGUGGCACAUAUCUGUUUUGCGGAUGAUCUACUACUAUUCUGCAAGGCCGAUACCCAAUCUGUAAGACUUAUAAAACAAACGCUCCAAAAAUUUGAGGAAACCUCAGGAUUACAAGCAAAUGCAGACAAAAGUGCGGUCUAUAGCAUGAGUCUCAAACUGGACAAAGGAGGAAAUCUUGCACGAACUGAAUUCCCUGGAGGGUCCCUACCCUUCAAAUAUCUUGGGGUCCCCAUGGACUCCAAAAAAUUAACAAUUGCUCAAUAUUGGCCAAUAGUAGAGAAAAUAACACAGAAGAUCAACUACUGGACAUCAAGAC